rnacentral:tRNA from 1 species
GGUAAGGUGGCUGAGUAGGCGGUAAACUGUAAAUCUAAUCACGAGAGACUAUCUCUCCCUUACCA